AUGUUUGAUGAUUUUCCCUCCAAGGAUAUCUCUGCAGAUGUCCAGAGUGAGGUGCAGCUAGUGGAGUAUGGGGGUGACUUGAGGCAGCCUGAGGGGUCUCUGAUAUUCUCCUGUGCAUCCUCUAGAUUGCCCUUCAGAAGCUAUGACAUGAUCUGUGUCCACCAGGUUCCAGGGAAGGACCUGGAGUGGGUCUCAAGUAUUAGUACCGGCGGUGGUGGUACAUACUACAAAGACUCUGUGAAGGGUCGAUUCACUAUCUCCAAAGACAACUCCGAGAACAUGCUGUAUCUGCAUAUGAACAGCCUGCAAUUGGAGGAGACACCUUUGUAUUUCUGUGUUGCUACCAUCACAGCCAGGUGA